rnacentral:snRNA from 1 species
GGAUGUGAGGACGAUCUGGCUGCGACAUCUGUCACCCCAUUGAUUGCCAGGGUUGAUUUGGCUGAUCUGGCUGGCUAGGCGGGUGUCCCCUUCCUCCCUCACCUCUCUAUGUGCGUCCCUCCCAAAGCUGUGCGCUCAGUGGAAGAGGACGUCCUCCCAGAUAGGAGUACCGUUCUUCAGUCAAGGGUAUACGAUAAGCAGAAAGGGUGAGGGAGGCCUUCCUCCAAUUCGUCCUCAGGGCAAUCUCCCAAGGCUCGAUUUUAUCCUCUGUCAGAUUAAAGGAGAGGAGGAGGUUCCUCCCUUUUUCCGUAA